AGGAGACCUUAAAACAUUUAGGAAGAGUAAAUAAGAAUAAAAAAGUAAAUGAAUUUAAGAGACGGUUGAAGCACUUUGUGCCUCAAUGUGAACACCUCUGGAUCUGCAGAUGAAUGAUAUUGAUGAAUUGAUUAAUCUGUAAAGCACUGCACACCAACCAUUCAAGAACAGGCUAUGCAGAAAACUUGUGAAAUCUUAUUCGCAAAGUGCAUUUUGGUUUUGGAUGAAAACUACAUCUAAUAAUGUGCAUAUUGCUUUUGAUUACCUGGAAAUUAAGUCUUGGACCAACUCUCUACAUCUUGAACAAAACCAUCUUCUGAAGAAAACAAGCUGACAGGAGGCAGCAGUUUUUUUCCAAACAGUACACCAACAUUUUUAAAAAAGCUUACCUGCUUGUCACUUAAAAUUUAACAAAUGCAACUGGGAAAGUUUGAAAUUAGCAUCAAUUAGUGCUAGGCAGUAUGGGGAAAUAGGAUAUGGACAUGAGUGUAGGCUUUUCCACUGUAAAGUGGAGAUAAUGUUGUUCCUACAUUUUCUCAAAUGGAUAAGGACAAUCAGGAAGCAACCAACUCUCAGAGAAGGAACCAACUGUACAGUUUGAAUUUUCUGGAAUAUAGAAGGCCUUCAUUGUUUUU